rnacentral:rRNA from 1 species
UAAGGAAUAUUGGUCAAUGGACGCAAGUCUGAACCAGCCAUGCCGCGUGAAGGAUGAAGGUCCUCUGGAUUGUAAACUUCUUUUAUCUGGGACGAAAACGGGAUUUUUAUCUCAAUUGCCGGUACCAGAGGAAUAAGCACCGGCUAACUCCGUGCCAGCAGCCGCGGUAAUACGGAGGAUGCAAGCGUUAUCCGGAAUUAUUGGGUUUAAAGGGUGCGUAGGCGGACUAAUAAGUCAGUGGUGAAAGCCUGCAGCUUAACUGCAGAAUUGCCAUUGAUACUGUUAGUCUUGAGUACAGUUGAGGUAGGCGGAAUGUGUCAUGUAGCGGUGAAAUGCUUAGAUAUGACACAGAACACCGAUUGCGAAGGCAGCUUGCUAAGCUGUAACUGACGCUGAGGCACGAAAGCGUGGGGAGCAAACA